GUUAUGAUCUUUCACUUCCCGAUAACUCAUUCCCAAGAUUAAGAUCACCGAGAGGACUGAAUCAAAAUCGCAGUUAUAAGCGAUACAUCUGGGGGUGAUUUGAGGGACAUUUGCUGUUUUCAAAAACCCAUCGAAUUGUAAUUUCAAAUCUAACCCAUCACACUAUUCUUUCCCCAGAGAAAAAUCACCAACAGGAUCGAAAUAAAAUUAAACAACUGAAAUUUGGAUUUCAUCAUCACCUACAACGUUUUCUAUCUUCGUAGAACAGGCGAGGAAUCCCGCAAUACUCCAUAGUCCAUAUGAAGUUAAAAUUACUAUUCCAGUGGAAUGCUAUGAGCCCAUUGAUUUGACUUCAUUCUUAUAAAAUUGUGUGAUAAUAGGAAAGAUAGUGAAGCUGAUGCUAUAAGACGAUGGGUGUUAUUUGGCUAGGUUCCUGCAUGUAUAGAUUUCAACCUUUUCUCUUCAGCUGAGUUCUUAAAAUGUGUUUUGGUGUUUAAGAAUAAGCGUGAAAAAAAUGCAUGCCAAAAGAAAAAUAGUAAAUCUUAACAUGACACCAUUAGUUGCGUUAUAUGUCCUGAACUUCAUGCGAUGACGAAUAUCAGUGAUCAACUCAACACGUAAGGCUAUAGACAAGUUAGUGAUGGCAGCGAACCUGACGGUAACUGUGGAUAUGGUCAAUAUUAUGGCGAAUUAUAAUUUCUUGACUGUGCAGAAGAACAUACUUUUCUCCUAGAAAGUGGGACGAGUCUUCCUUGACGGUUCCUUUAUGAGGGCAGAAAAUUAUACUACAGCGAAAUAAGGCUGUUUCUGGAAAUUUACACCAUAUGACACUUACAGCUAAAUAAGCAAAUAUAUGUACUUUUAGUAGAACAGACACUCCAGAGUUUCAUUGAAAUAAAUAGAGUGUAAAUCAUGGCUUCUAUGCGUAAUUUUCUAAUUUCUUUCUUUGUACUACAAUUUA